AGGACGAACGCUGGCGGCGUGCCUAACACAUGCAAGUCGAACGGAGUAUAGAGCGAAGUUUCGGAUGGAGCGAAGAUAACUUAGUGGCGGACGGGUGAGUAACGCGUGAGUAACCUGCCCAUUAGAGGGGGAUAACGUUCUGAAAGAAACGCUAAUACCGCAUAACAUAUUCGGUUCGCAUGAACUGAAUAUCAAAGGAGCAAUCCGCUGAUGGAUGGACUCGCGUCCGAUUAGCUUGUUGGUGAGAUAACAGCCCACCAAGGCGACGAUCGGUAGCCGGACUGAGAGGUUGAACGGCCACAUUGGGACUGAGACACGGCCCAGACCCCUACGGGAGGCAGCAGUGGGGGAUAUUGCGCAAUGGGGGAAACCCUGACGCAAGCAACGCCGCGUGAAUGAGGAAGGUCUUCGGAUUGUAAAAUUCUUUUGUCGAGGACGAAACAAAUGACGGUACUCGAUGAAUAAGCUCCGGCUAACUACGUGCCAGCAGCCGC
rnacentral:rRNA from 1 species